UCAUUGGUGGACUAGUGGCUAGCAUGCGGCGCUCUCACUAGCGUGGCCCGAGUUCAAUUCUUGGUCAGUAAA